CCUGUCCCUGUCUAUCUUCAGAACACUCUUUCAAAACCUCCUCUCUCACUUCCAUUUCCUUCUUCCUUUUUUUCUUCGAAACCAAACACGUUUUGGUCGACCUUUGCCCUGGCUUACUUCAUGCCGCGUAUCUGCGUCGUCUCACAGAUCUGACUGCUUCGAUCUCUCUUUCGCCUGAUACAGAAAACUCAAUGCAGGAUGCGUAAGGUUCAAUAAAGAUAGAUCCGUUGUUUCUUUGUAUUAGAAAUGUCACAGUACUAUGACAUUGAUGAUAUUAUAGCAGAAGACGAGCUUGUCCCUGCAGUAUUCCAAGUGGCUGCAAAUGGAGUUGGGCUCUUUGAUUCUAGUGAUGAAACAAACAAGGUUGAACAAGGUUCAAGGGUAGAGCUGCCUUUUUGGCUUGCUUGUGAGCUACACCUGAGACAAGCAGUAUCCAUUAGUCUACCCCCGUGUUUCAAUCAAAAAUCAAGGGACGAGCUUGCAGCUGAUGCUGCGCAUGUUGAUCUAAAGAAUCGAUGUCCAUACUUCUAUGAAUUGGGAUGCAAAUUAUUUUCACUAGAAAAACACACGACCAACAGAAAACCAGGAGGUAUACCUGUUGGAAAGCCGCAACAAGAAGAAAAUAGCCAUUGCCACAAGCAAGGGAAGACCAGACACAGCUACUGCACCAAUCAAGCCAAGAUACAGCACAGAUACAUCAUCGAAAUAAGCCACACAGCUCAGCCAGAGCAAACACCAAAAUUCACAGCCACAAAAAUGUAGUAACUAGGUAACAACCACAGAAAACAAAGCCCAAGGCACAGUUCAAGUCCGUCUGUUAAUCAGCACCCUUGUAGAAAUGUUCCAAGAGAAGAUCCUAGCAUUCCUUUCAUUCCACAUGGAAUAUGUAGCUGCUGCCAUGGAGAUUGUUUACAUUAUUCUGGAAUGAUUCCUUGCUGCAAUGGGAGAUAGCUUAGUUCAGCUCCUGAUUCCAAGCCUCAGGGCUCCUAUUAAUCUGACGUAGAGCUGUCGAUAAGAGCAUUGCAUUCUUGCUUUUAGCCGCGUUUCAAACCAGGUAUAAGGAAGUAUUGAUCAAGGCACAAACUGCAGCAUUGGCUGUGGCUCCUAGAUUCUUGACAAUUUUGACAAAAGAAGAA